rnacentral:rRNA from 1 species
GAUGAACGCUGGCGGCGUGCCUAAUACAUGCAAGUCGAGCGAACGGACGAGAAGCUUGCUUCUCUGAUGUUAGCGGCGGACGGGUGAGUAACACGUGUAUAAUCUACCUAUAAGACUGGGAUAACUUCGGGAAACCGGAGCUAAUACCGUAUAAUAUUUUGAACCGCAUGGUUCAAAAGUGAAAGACGGUCUUGCUGUCACUUAUAGAUGGAUCUGCGCUGCAUUAGCUAGUUGGUAAGGUAACGGCUUACCAAGGCAACGAUGCAUAGCCGACCUGAGAGAGUGAUCGCCCACCCUGGAGCGGAAACACGGUCAAUGCUCCUACGGGACGCAGCAGUAGGCAACCUUACGCAAUAGUCGGAAGCCUGACGCAGCAACGCCACGUGAGAGAUGACGGUCUUCCGAUCGUAAAACUCUGUUAUUAGGGAAGAACAUAUGUGUCAGUAACUGUGCACAUCUUGACGGUACCUAAUCAGAAAGCCACGGCUAACUACGUG